rnacentral:rRNA from 1 species
AGAGUUUGAUCCUGGCUCAGAACGAACGCUGGCGGCAUGCCUAACACAUGCAAGUCGAACGCCCCGCAAGGGGAGUGGCGCACGGGUGAGUAACGCGUGGGAACCUGCCCUGGAGUUUGGGAUAACCCGGCGAAAGCCGGGCUAAUACCGGAUACGCCCCGAGGGGGAAAGAUUUAUCGCUCUAGGAGGGGCCCGCGUCGGAUUAGCUAGUUGGUGAGGUAACGGCUCACCAAGGCGACGAUCCGUAGCUGGUCUGAGAGGAUGAUCAGCCACACUGGGACUGAGACACGGCCCAGACUCCUACGGGAGGCAGCAGUGGGGAAUAUUGGACAAUGGGGGCAACCCUGAUCCAGCAAUGCCGCGUGAGUGAUGAAGGCCUUAGGGUUGUAAAGCUCUUUCGCCCGCGACGAUGAUGACGGUAGCGGGAGAAGAAGCCCCGGCUAACUUCGUGCCAGCAGCCGCGGUAAUACGAAGGGGGCGAGCGUUGUUCGGAAUUACUGGGCGUAAAGGGCGCGCAGGCGGCCCUUGAAGUCAGGCGUGAAAGCCCCGGGCUCAACCUGGGAAUUGCGCUUGAUACUCGAGGGCUUGAGUGCGGGAGAGGAGAGUGGAAUUCCCAGUGUAGAGGUGAAAUUCGUAGAUAUUGGGAAGAACACCGGUGGCGAAGGCGGCUCUCUGGACCGUAACUGACGCUGAGGCGCGAAAGCGUGGGGAGCAAACAGGAUUAGAUACCCCUGUAGUCC